AUUGAACGCUGGCGGCAUGCUUUACACAUGCAAGUCGAACGGUAACAGGCCGCAAGGUGCUGACGAGUGGCGAACGGGUGAGUAAUGCAUCGGAACGUGCCCAGUCGUGGGGGAUAACUACUCGAAAGAGUAGCUAAUACCGCAUACGAUCUAUGGAUGAAAGCGGGGGACCGUAAGGCCUCGCGCGAUUGGAGCGGCCGAUGUCAGAUUAGGUAGUUGGUGGGGUAAAGGCUCACCAAGCCAACGAUCUGUAGCUGGUCUGAGAGGACAACCAGCCGCACUGGGACUGAGACACGGCCCAGACUCCUACGGGAGGCAGCAGUGGGGAAUUUUGGACAAUGGGCGCAAGCCUGAUCCAGCAAUGCCGCGUGCAGGAAGAAGGCCUUCGGGUUGUAAACUGCUUUUGUACGGAACGAAACGGCUCUGGUUAAUACCCGGGGCUAAUGACGGUACCGUAAGAAUAAGCACCGGCUAACUACGUG
rnacentral:rRNA from 1 species